GCUGGUUUGGCCAAGUGGUAAGGCGUCUGCCUUGUAAGCAGAAGAUCUAGGGUUCGACCCCCUAAAUCAGCA
rnacentral:tRNA from 1 species